UACAGAGGUCCCAAGCGUUGUUCGGAUUCACUGGGCGUAAAGGGUGCGUAGGUGGUUCUGCAAGUCUGAUGUGAAAUCUCCGGGCUUAACCCGGAAAUGGCAUUGGAAACUGCAGGGCUAGAGUGUUGGAGGGGGGACUGGAAUUCUCGGUGUAGCAGUGAAAUGCGUAGAUAUCAGGAGGAACACCAGUGGCGAAGGCGAGUCUCUGGGAGUGAUGCUGACGCUGAGGCGCGAAAGCCAGGGAGCAAACGGGAUUAGAAACC
rnacentral:rRNA from 1 species